AGUGAACGCUGGCGGUAGGCCUAACACAUGCAAGUCGAACGGCAGCACAGGAGAGCUUGCUCUCUGGGUGGCGAGUGGCGGACGGGUGAGGAAUGCAUCGGAAUCUACUCUUUCGUGGGGGAUAACGUAGGGAAACUUACGCUAAUACCGCAUACGACCUACGGGUGAAAGCCGGGGACCUUCGGGCCUGGCGCGAAUGACUGAGCCGAUGCCCGAUUAGCUAGUUGGCGGGGUAAGAGCCCACCAAGGCGACGAUCGGUAGCUGGUCUGAGAGGAUGAUCAGCCACACUGGAACUGAGACACGGUCCAGACUCCUACGGGAGGCAGCAGUGGGGAAUAUUGGACAAUGGGCGCAAGCCUGAUCCAGCCAUACCGCGUGGGUGAAGAAGGCCUUCGGGUUGUAAAGCCCUUUUGUUGGGAAAGAAAAGCAGCUGGUUAAUACCCGGUUGUUCUGACGGUACCCAAAGAAUAAGCACCGGCUAACUUCGUG
rnacentral:rRNA from 1 species